rnacentral:sRNA from 1 species
CGGAAGCGCCUUUCUCGUAGCUGGUCGAAUUUUCGCUUGAGGACACCGAUCAUCCCAGCUCAGAGGGGCACUUUCCGCAUUACGAGACCCGCCCGGCCGAACUGCAUCAGUGGAUCGAG